GCUUAGCAAUAACCGGUGUCUAGGGGUGUCAAAGAGAAGUUGGAAACUUGUAAUAGUUUCUUGAGGAACCAUAGUAUAAACAUCAAUGAAGUUGCAUCCAAGGGCAUGGUGGUAGUCGAUAAAACUGGAAUCAAGACCAUGGUAGAGUUAGGUAUUCAGCAAAAAAGAUUAGGGGAUUUCUGUCGGUUUGACUAAACCUUCAGGUUAAGUUACUAGGUUGUACCUGUACUAGUGGGAGGAUGCAAA
rnacentral:misc_RNA from 1 species